rnacentral:lncRNA from 1 species
AAAUUAAAAUUGAAUUUUAAAAUUUUAAAUUUUGAAAUUUAAAUUUUUAUUUUGAAAUUUAAAAUUUAGAAAUUGAUACAUCUUUGGGAGCCCAAAAUUGUGAAAUUUUUUUUCUUUGGUUAAAGUGGAUUGUAAGUUUACUCCAUUUUUUGGAGUAUAGUAUAACUAUACUCUAAAAAUUACGUUAUUUUUUUUUCUUCCAAACGCUUCAUAGGAUUAUUUUUAUACCGGCGUAGCAUAGUUUAACUAUGCUACGUUUUUAAAGGCAUCCAAACGGGGCCUUAGACUUCCUUUGUUAGGAUUUCGUAGCUGAAGCUAUAUGGAACUUGAGCCUCUCUUGUUCUCCCUUUGGUAAGGCUAGCAGUGUUGGGCCUUUCUUCUCUCUGUUUGGAUUUAUUUUUCUUAUUAUUAAGUCAUGGGUAAAUUACACCGGUAAUUUGCCGAAUCUUUAGGAAGUUGUAUUUAGCUUAUAUUUUUUUUGAAGUUAAAUAUAAUAAUUCAAAACUUUUAUAGAUGAUUUAAUACAUUUACGACGUUUUUUUUUUAGAGAAAUGUAGCAUGUUAUUCGUUUCGUUCAUUUUCUUUUAAAAAUAAACCUAGCUAAAAAUGUGAAUUAAUUAGGAUUCGAAUUUGAGACUUUGGAUACUAACCACCAAACUCUUUAUCAUUUGCUCUAGGGGCAGUUGGUCAUUUACGACGUUGAAAGAAUAAAAACUAAAAUAAAAGUUUGAAAAAAAAAU